rnacentral:rRNA from 1 species
GUGGGGAAUUUUGGACAAUGGGCGCAAGCCUGAUCCAGCAAUGCCGCGUGCAGGAAGAAGGCCUUCGGGUUGUAAACUGCUUUUGUACGGAACGAAACGGUCCUGGCUAAUACCCGGGGCUAAUGACGGUACCGUAAGAAUAAGCACCGGCUAACUACGUGCCAGCAGCCGCGGUAAUACGUAGGGUGCGAGCGUUAAUCGGUAUUACUGGGCGUAAAGCGUGCGCAGGCGGUGCUGUAAGACAGGCGUGAAAUCCCCGGGCUCAACCUGGGAAUUGCGCUUGUGACUGCAGUGCUGGAGUGCGGCAGAGGGGGAUGGAAUUCCGCGUGUAGCAGUGAAAUGCGUAGAUAUGCGGAGGAACACCGAUGGCGAAGGCAAUCCCCUGGGCCUGCACUGACGCUCAUGCACGAAAGCGUGGGGAGCAAACAGGAUUAGAAACCCGGGUAGUCC